GGGGACGUUCUUGGAUUCGACAGGGGUCCCCGAGCUUAUUAAGCGUGUCGGAGGGUUGGCUCCGUCAUCAACACAUUUCGGUUAAAUAUAACUGACAAAUCAAACAAUAAUUUCGCAGUAGCUGCGUAAUAGCCACUGCAUCGCCUAACAGCAUCUCCUACGUGCUGUUAACGCGAUUCAACCCUAGUAGGAUAUGCUAAACACUGCCGCUUGAAGUCUGUUUAGAUGAAAUAUAAUCAAGCUAGUAUCA
rnacentral:tmRNA from 1 species